CAGUAAAUGCACUGCGUGUGUUGCCUGGAGCCAGGGACAGAGUGGUAAAGAGAGAAUGCACAAUGGCAGCCUUAGGAUGAGACACAAAUACUGGACUGAUGAAGAAUGGCUACUACGAAGGAUGAAGGUUUCCCAGGGACAACUGUCCAUGGAGACUUUUGCUGGCUUGAACGUUGUUAGAUGAGCACUUUCUGCUCCCAGUAGAAGCAUGGAUCACGACUUCCACAUGGUCUCCAGCA
rnacentral:lncRNA from 1 species